UGGGGAAUUUUGGACAAUGGGCGAAAGCCUGAUCCAGCAAUGCCGCGUGUGUGAAGAAGGCCUUCGGGUUGUAAAGCACUUUUGUCCGGAAAGAAAUCCUUGGCUCUAAUACAGUCGGGGGAUGACGGUACCGGAAGAAUAAGCACCGGCUAACUACGUGCCAGCAGCCGCGGUAAUACGUAGGGUGCAAGCGUUAAUCGGAAUUACUGGGCGUAAAGCGUGCGCAGGCGGUUUGCUAAGACCGAUGUGAAAUCCCCGGGCUCAACCUGGGAACUGCAUUGGUGACUGGCAGGCUAGAGUAUGGCAGAGGGGGGUAGAAUUCCACGUGUAGCAGUGAAAUGCGUAGAGAUGUGGAGGAAUACCGAUGGCGAAGGCAGCCCCCUGGGCCAAUACUGACGCUCAUGCACGAAAGCGUGGGGAGCAAACAGGAUUAGAUACCCUGGUAGUCCACGCCCUAAACGAUGUCAACUAGUUGUUGGGGACUUCAUUUCCUUAGUAACGUAGCUAACGCGUGAAGUUGACCGCCUGGGGAGUACGGUCGCAAGAUUAAAACUUAAAGGAAUUGACGGGGU
rnacentral:rRNA from 1 species